GCGGACAACUUGGAGCAAGAACCCGAAGGAGAAAGUAACAAAAGAUGUGAAGAGGCAACUACGAAACACAGUAAACGACGACGAAAGAAGUCUUCUCCGCACUCGUUCGGAUGUCGCAGAUAUUACGGCAUUCGGGACCAGGACCGUUGGUGCUCUGGAUGCAGGAACAAGAAGCGUUGCAAAAGAAAUAUCGAGCAACUGCGGUGACGUCACGUGUAGUCGUAGCGACUGUAACAAAUGCCGGCACAGAGUUCGACGUAAUUUUUGUGCCUGUAGAGCCUUCGUCAUAGUGUUAUUACCGAAGCUCUCGACAGUGAGGGACUUCGUUGCACAACCCUCUUGUAACGUUCCGUAUUUGGUUGUUGUUUAUUGACAAAAUUAACUGUAUACUUUGGCUAACGUUGUUGUUUGUGAAAUGUGUUGUUGCGCGAUUUGAAUUUGUUUAGCCUUUAUGAUUAGUUUAUAAGCAAUUAAUUAAAGAGUGCUGGUAGUAUACGUAU